UACGGGUAGGCAGCAAGCGUUGUUCGGAGUUACUGGGCGUAAAGGGUGCGUAGGCGGCUUUUUAAGUUUGGUGUGAAAAUCCUCCCGGCUCAACUGGGAGGGGUGCGCCGAAUACUGAGAGGCUAGAGUGCGGGAGAGGAAAGUGGAAUUCCUGGUGUAGCGGUGAAAUGCGUAGAUAUCAGGAGGAACACCGGUGGUGUAAACGGCUUUCUGGACCGUAACUGACGCUGAUGCACGAAAGCGGUGGGUAGCAAACAGG
rnacentral:rRNA from 1 species